rnacentral:sRNA from 1 species
CUUACCAUGAGUUGCCAGGGCUGAGAGAGAUGGAGAAGGAUUCGCGGCGGUGACAGAUUAAAUUCCCCAGUUACAUUAUAGACUUGGAGGUGGGGGAUCUUCUCAUCGUUAGAGGCCCUGAUCAUGGGAGAUAGGCGGUUCGGAGCCAGUCCUGCCUAACUUUGUGUUCACUAAUGUUAGGGCUGCAAAGGUGGGCACCCCUACUCGUCUAAGAGCUUUCUCCUCUCUUCUCUUUUUCCCUUUUGUCUCUCUCCUUACAUCACCUGCCCACUGAGUAGACUUGUCCUUGUGUGAACGGGAGCCGGAAAGCCUUGAGAACUUAUUCCUCGACCCGGACAUGGCACAGGAGAAAAUGGAACUAGGUUUCAAGUCGCUGCCGAGUUCCACUACCGCAGACGGCAACAUUCUGAGAAGAGUCAACAGUGCCCCUUUGAUCAAUGGACUUGGUUUUAAUUCACAGGUGUUGCAAGCUGACAUGUUAAGAAUUAGGACAAACAGAACAACGUUUAGGAAUCAACGCUCUCUGUUGUUGCCACCUUCUCCCUUUCAUGGUUCCAUCAGCCGCCUUCAUCAAAUCAAACAGGAAGAAGCCAUGGAUUUAAUAAAUAGAGAAACAAUGUAUGAAUGGAAGCUACAAACUGUGAUACAGAUAAGUCAAUCUUGGGAAGAAGGCUUGAAACUGGUGAAAUGGCAUUUCAAUAUCAACCAAGAAAGAUCUUCCAAGGCACAACCAACAUGCUUUCUUCUGAUACUUCCCAACUGUCAGAAAAUAAU